rnacentral:rRNA from 1 species
UACGGGGGGCAAGCGUUGUUCGGAAUUACUGGGCGUAAAGGGCUCGUAGGUGGCCAACUAAGUCAGACGUGAAAUCCCUCGGCUUAACCGGGGAACUGCGUCUGAUACUGGAUGGCUUGAGUUUGGGAGAGGGACGCGGAAUUCCAGGUGUAGCGGUGAAAUGCGUAGAUAUCUGGAGGAACACCGGUGGCGAAGGCGGCGUCCUGGACCAACACUGACACUGAGGAGCGAAAGCCAGGGGAGCAAACGGG